GUUCUUGAUCCAACUAUAUAGAUGAUAUUGAUUUCUGAGUUGAGCUUCAAUCUUAACUGUAGUAUCUGUAGAACGGAUGAUAGCAUGCAUAUUGAAGCAUAUUUCAGACAAAAGCUUCAAAAAAGAUAAUGGAUGGAUAGUGAAGAUAAGAUAAGAAGAAAUGGCUUCAGGGAGGUCAGGUCAGGACAGACAGACAGACAGACUUAUGAUUGAUUCCACACGUGACUCUCGCGUGUUCCCCACCCCUCUUUCACAGGACAGAUCAGAGAUGAUGACAACAAACCAACCCCUUACUCAGAGAGCUUGGUCCAUCCAUCAAUGGCAGACUGUGACUGGUCUCAACCAGGAAGCCCAGCCCCCCAAAUUUCUUGAAAAUCAAGCAACCCCACCUACUUAAAUGGUAAAGAAGCAUUCAAUUCCAGCUAACUGCUACUGCUUGCUGCCAGUCCUAUAACCCUACCCCUCUACCUCUACCCCACCCAAUCUCCAAAUAUUUUUUUAUUUUAUUUAUAUUUAACAAGGGUAGUUGAUCUUUGCGUGUUCAAACUACCAUUGCUCCUCCGAAUAGACAUCUCUCUGCUAUUAAAGGAGAAGCCAUAAUCAAACAUGGAAUCCCCUGGACCUGGAGCAGGGGCUUCCAGGGUAGAGUACACAAAUAAGCCCUGAUAAGUGAUCAAUCACUCGCAGGAGCUCUAGACCAGGGAGCAGCCAAGAUGAUGUGCUUGCCCCAAAAUUUCAUUUACCAUUUUAUUUGGGAGGAAAAAUCUCCACCGGGCUUUUUACAGUUAAACCAAAUCUUUCACCUGCCCGUUUCAAGCUCCCUGGGUGGUAUUUCAGUGUAGUGGUCCCAGGAGUCCAAGUCCCGGACGCAUCCUGGCCGUUGAUCGGGGGGGAUGUUUGCAGAAUGUGGAAAUUUACAGUAAGAGCUUUAUUAUGCGUACAGGAUUGUACAAUAUCAUUACUAUUACUAUUAUUAUUAUUAUUAUUAAAUCAGAAACAAUAUACCACCUCACCACCCAA